GAGGUGUAAUAAAAAGGUCUUUGUUCAUUAAAACGAACAUUGAAAGAAAAUAAGAAUUUAAACUGAAUAGAGAAUUUCAGACUGUGAGAAGAGAAAGAGGAAAAAAAAAAAGGGGGGGUGAUUUGAUAAACAACAAGUAUUCUGUUUAAGAAUUGUGCAAAUGCAGCUAGCACAGAAGACUGUGUAACUAACUAUAUACAAGCUAACUUUUAGGCCAAGGACAACCGGCAAAGAAGAUAAGGAGCCUUCAUCCCUAUGACCACCAAGGGCAGAGAGAAAAAGGACCCCCUAGCAACCAAUUGCACCGGCGCAGAGUGCAUCGAGAGAAAAUACGUCAACCGAAAAAGAGGGGGGACUAUAAAAACAAAAAGGUCAAAGGGGGAAGGUGCGCCGUGGCAGAGUGGAAACUCCCCGGCCGCCCAGCGCUGUUUUUUUGCUUAAUACCGCUUGCUUAAUAAAUUCUUGUUAAUUGAUUUAUCUAUAAUUAGCCUCCCCAAUUGAAUUUGUCCAUAACAAAUUUGGUGCCGUGACUCGGAUAAGGGCAAACGGGCAGGAAUUCCUAAUCAGGGAGGCGCCCCGCUGCCUUUUCAGCGGCCCUGGUGCAGGCUUUUCCUUCUCGGGCCCUUACCGACGAACCUAAAUUCGGUAUUAAGCAAAAGGGAUACCGGUAACCCCAUAAUCUUUGUGCACGAAGCCCGGGCGAAGACGCAGGACAGCAAACUGCAGUCAGAACCGCCGAGAAGGGAUGGACACAUGCGAGCCGAAUAAAGGGACCGAUUACUGCUGCUGCUGCCGAAGACCCCUGGAGAAUAACCAGCCAACCCGGAGAUCUUAAGGUCACAUUUAAACGGACUUAAUGGACUCAGUAAAAAUUGUACAAACCA